rnacentral:rRNA from 1 species
AACAAACGCUGGCGGCGUGCCUAAUACAUGCAAGUCGAACGGGGAAAGCUUUCGGGUGAGUACUAGUGGCGCACGGGUGAGGAACGCGUGGAUAAUCUGCCUUAGAGUGGGGGAUAACUAGUCGAAAGAUUAGCUAAUACCGCAUAAGACCACAGGAGCUGCGGCUCAAGGGGUCAAAGGUUUUUCGCUCUAAGAUGAGUCCGCGUAAGAUUAGCUAGUUGGUGAGGUAACGGCUCACCAAGGCGACGAUCUUUAACUGGUCUGAGAGGAUGAUCAGUAACACUGGAACUGAGACACGGUCCAGACUCCUACGGGAGGCAGCAGUAGGGAAUAUUGCACAAUGGAGGAAACUCUGAUGCAGCGACGCCGCGUGAGUGAUGAAGGCCUUCGGGUCGUAAAGCUCUGUCGCAGGGGAAUAACACAAUGAAGGUACCCUGUAAGAAAGGAUCGGCUAACUUCGUGCCAGCCGCCGCCGUAACAC